rnacentral:rRNA from 1 species
AGAGUUUGAUCCUGGCUCAGGAUGAACGCUGGCGGCGUGCCUAACACAUGCAAGUCGAGCGGUAUAUACUUAAAUGAAACUUCGGUCGAGUGAGAGUAUAGAGAGCGGCGGACGGGUGAGUAACGCGUAGGCAACCUGCCCCAUACAGAGGGAUAGCCUCGGGAAACCGGGAUUAAAACCUCAUAACGCCAAGAGUUCACAUGGGCUUUUGGCCAAAGAUUUAUCGGUAUGGGAUGGGCCUGCGUCUGAUUAGCUAGUUGGUGGGGUAACGGCCUACCAAGGCAACGAUCAGUAGCCGACCUGAGAGGGUAAUCGGCCACAUUGGAACUGAGACACGGUCCAAACUCCUACGGGAGGCAGCAGUGGGGAAUAUUGCACAAUGGGCGAAAGCCUGAUGCAGCAACGCCGCGUGAGCGAUGAAGGCCUUUGGGUCGUAAAGCUCUGUCCUUGGGGAAGAAAAAAAUGACGGUACCCUUGGAGGAAGCCCCGGCUAACUACGUGCCAGCAGCCGCGGUAAUACGUAGGGGGCAAGCGUUAUCCGGAAUUAUUGGGCGUAAAGAGUGCGUAGGUGGUUUUAUAAGCGCGGGGUGAAAGGCUAUGGCUCAACCAUAGUAAGCCUUGCGAACUGUAAGACUUGAGUGCAGGAAAAGAAAGUGGAAUUNCUAGUGUACGGUGAAAUGCGUAGAUAUUANGAGGAACACCAGUGGCCAAAGGCGACUUUNUGGACUGUAACUGACACUGAGGCCCNAAGCGUGGGGAGCAAACANGAUUAGAUACCCUGUAGUCCACC